rnacentral:lncRNA from 1 species
GAGCCGCGGCCGCAGCGGCAUCGCGGCCUGGGGACGCCCGCUCCGCUGGACACGGCGUCCCCGAGAGCGCCCGCCACGCGCGGACCUGCUUCCCGGGGUCCGGGGCUGCCCCGGGGCGUCCGGCGUUCCCCGAGGCGGGCGUGUCCGCGCGGCGCCCGGUGGGGGACGACCGCGGGCCGUAGCCUGUUGGAGCGCGCGGGGCGCCGGGCCGGGGGCUCGGGGUGCCCCGCGGGGGACCGCGCAGCCGGGCUCCCGGUGCGGAGCAGUUUUCGCGAACUCUCCGCCUCCGUCUCACUGGGGCCCACCGCCGCCGGGAGACCCCCGUCCGGACCUGCCAAGAAAGGAGUGUCAUGAAAAAGGAACAGAAAAGAGACGUCCCUGUUGCUGAAAGGGGAAUUUUCUUUCCCAGUUGGUGGUACUUCAUGAUUGGAAGAGAAGUACCUAGGUGGCUGAAGAGAUUAGAUUCUCAUAGUUGUUACAGAUGAAGCUGAUAAAAAGAAGAUGGGAAAAUGCUUUCUCUGGGUCAUAAUAGGCUGAUGAGUAAGUAAGCCUGAAAGGGACAGAUCUGAAAUGAGGACAGGAAUUUUGAAAGUUUUAAAACCAAGUAGGACUUUGAGCACUUGUUGAGGAUGUUUUUCUCCCAAAAAUGGAGGAAGAAAAAAUUCUCAAAGCAAGAAGUGUCAGAAGCUGAGAGGAGGAAUACAAACCAGUCUGCACCAAGAAUUUCAGUACUUCCUCGGCUUCCUUUUGCACACAGAGGCAACGCAUCAGACCUGUGUGAUGACCUUAUCACCAGUGAUGGUUGCUGAUGCCAGAAAUGACUUCUUAAUUUAGAUUUCGGAUAGUUCUUUCUCUUUCUUUUCUUUUCUCUUUUUUUAACCAUGUGUGUUUUUUGACUCUUCCUGUUAGGUAGAUUUAUGUCAACGAAGUGAAUCAUGAAUUCGCAGUAUGUUUGACUAUCUCCCCCCAUUUGCUGUAUGAUACGGGAAAAUUAGAGGUUUUAACACUUCUUGAAGUUUUACUGGAAGUAAGAUUGUGUCAGGGACACAGACCACAGUGUAAGUUUUCUCUUUUUGGCAACUGGACUUGUUUUGAAUGAGACAAAUGUCAGCUGGAUUUCACAGCAUACACGAUUUACAGUCUUUGUUUUAUCAAGGCCUUAAAUGUAUGUUUUAUACUCAGCAGAUGGGAAACACAUUGAGCACUGUGUCUGACACGUAUGCCUGAGGA